CGGGGCGUAGCGCAGCCUGGUAGCGCACCUGCUUCGGGAGCAGGGGGCCGGAAGUUCAAAUCUUCUCGCCCCGA
rnacentral:tRNA from 1 species